rnacentral:rRNA from 1 species
AUUGAACGCUGGCGGCAUGCCUUACACAUGCAAGUCGAACGGCAGCACGGGUGCUUGCACCUGGUGGCGAGUGGCGAACGGGUGAGUAAUACAUCGGAACAUGUCCUGUAGUGGGGGAUAGCCCGGCGAAAGCCGGAUUAAUACCGCAUACGAUCCACGGAUGAAAGCGGGGGACCUUCGGGCCUCGCGCUAUAGGGUUGGCCGAUGGCUGAUUAGCUAGUUGGUGGGGUAAAGGCCUACCAAGGCGACGAUCAGUAGCUGGUCUGAGAGGACGACCAGCCACACUGGGACUGAGACACGGCCCAGACUCCUACGGGAGGCAGCAGUGGGGAAUGUUGGACAAUGGGCGAAAGCCUGAUCCAGCAAUGCCGCGUGUGUGAAGAAGGACUUCGGGUUGUAAAGCACUUUUGUCCGGAAAGAAAUCCUUGACUCUAAUACAGUCGGGGGAUGACGGUACCGGAAGAAUAAGCACCGGCUAACUACGUG